rnacentral:rRNA from 1 species
UACGUAGGGUGCGAGCGUUGUCCGGAAUUACUGGGCGUAAAGAGCUCGUAGGUGGUUUGUCGCGUUGUUCGUGAAAUCUCACGGCUUAACUGUGAGCGUGCGGGCGAUACGGGCAGGCUGGAGUACUGCAGGGGAGACUGGAAUUCCUGGUGUAGCGGUGGAAUGCGCAGAUAUCAGGAGGAACACCGGUGGCGAAGGCGGGUCUCUGGGCAGUAACUGACGCUGAGGAGCGAAAGCGUGGGGAGCGAACAGG